rnacentral:rRNA from 1 species
UGAGGAACAUGACCUUCGGCGGGGGAUAGCCGGCCCAACGGCCGGGUAAUACCGCGUACGACCACAUGGGGACAUCCCUGAGUGGUGAAAGCAGCGAUGCGCCGAUGGAGUGCCUCGCGGCCUAUCAGCUAGUUGGUGAGGUAACGGCUCACCAAGGCAACGACGGGUAGCUGGUCUGAGAGGAUGGCCAGCCACAUUGGGACUGAGACACGGCCCAGACUNUACGGGAG